rnacentral:snRNA from 1 species
GAGUGUGAGAGUGAUCUGGCUCCGACAUCUGUCAGCCCAUUGAUUCCCGGAUUGAUGCGGUUGAUCUGGCUGCCUAGGAAGGUAUCCCCUUCCUCCCUCACCGUUUCAUGUGUGUCUCUGAAAGCUACAUGCUCAGUAGAAGAGGACGAUCUUCCCAGACAGAGGAGUACUGGUUUUCAGCCAGGAGUGAAUGUGUAAGCUGGGGUUCUGUGCUAGCAGCUCAAUACAAGCUCUCAAGGUCCAUUUGUUAGAGGACAUAGGAUAGUCACACUUCCAGAGUCUAGACAUAUCCAAGUGAGGUGCUGUAUAUGGCAAUAUGCCUUUCUU